ACCCGGACUAGGUCGGGCAGUUAGGCCCUGCUCGGAACCCGCGGUAUGGUCUUCAGCGGGGACCGAAACCCGGGGGCGUCCGGUCAGACGGGCACGGGCCCCGCGAGCCAACGUCGAAGCCUCGUCCUGCGGGGACGGCGGUCCGCGUCGGCGCGCCUGCAGGGGCGCUCCGGCGGGGUUAACCGGUGGCACCGGGCCAGGCACGGAAGUGAGCAGCCCACCACCGGACAGCCGUCGCUCGGAGGGUCGCGGGGUGGAGGAGGCAAGCGGGACUACCCGCGUCCGGACGCCGGGCAGUCCCGGGGUCCGUUC
rnacentral:SRP_RNA from 1 species